AAAAAAAUAAAAAAAAAAAAAAAAAAUUCUGUUGGGUGAACCUGCGGAAGGAUCAUUAACGAAUCAAACAAGUUCAUCUUGUUUCCGUUGGGGAACCUGCGGAGGGAUCAUUACAGAGUUGCAAAACUCCCAAACCAUCGUGAACGUUACCUAUAUCGUUGCUUCGGCGGGUGGCUCGGCCUCGGCCCUGCCCUAGGCCCCUCUCGGGGGCCCGCCGGAGGUCUACCAAACUCUUGAAUUUACAUGGCCUCUGUGAGUCUUCUGUACUGAAUAAGUCAAAACUUUCAACAACGGAUUUCUUGGUUCUGGCAUCGAUGAAGAACGCAGCGAAAUGCGAUAAGUAAUGUGAAUUGCAGAAUUCAGUGAAUCAUCGAAUCUUUGAACGCACAUUGCGCCCGCCAGUAUUCUGGCGGGCAUGCCUGUCCGAGCGUCAUUUCAACCAUCAAGCCCCCGGCUUGUGUUGGGGACCUGCGGCACACCCGCAGGCCCUGAAAACCAGUGGCGGGCUCGCUGUCCACACCGAGCGUAGUAGCAUAUCUUUGUCUCGCUCAGGGCGUGCGGCGGGUUCCGGCCGUGAAACCCACCUUCUCGAAGGUACCCAAAGGUUGACCUCGGAUCAGGUAGGAAACCCGGUUCC
rnacentral:rRNA from 1 species